GAUAGCCUAACUGGAGUGGAGAAAAGAGAGAAUAGCUUCAUAAAUAGUCUAACUUGCUCCAUGCAAAAAUCUACCUCUGCAUCUCCUAAGGCCCCAGCCCAGGUCUUUAGGGCUUGGGCUGUUGGGGAAAGAGAGAGAGAGAGAGAGAUUAGAGGUAGAAAUGGGGUGAAGAGCUUCAUGCUAAUUCCCCCUAAGAAUCCCUGAAAGAGUUUUCACUCUUAUCCUUCCACUCUGCCUGCUCUGCCAUCUCCACCUGAGACAAAGUCAUCGAACCACUCUGUGCUGCUUAAGCAGAUCCUGCCUCCCAAGAGGUGCACUUGUUUAGUGUGGAAAUAGUGGAGAAAGAAAGAGGGCCAGCCAGCACCACUCAAGAAAGGCUCCAUAGGAUGUUCAACUCUAGAGGAAUAGAGGAUGAAGAACAAUCAGAUGACUGUUGGGUUUGGAGGGAAAAAAAUCCAGCUACUAGUUAAGAGGAAACGGUGCUGGAUCCAAGGCUCAGUCUCGAGCCUUCUGGUCCAGGAUUUUG